rnacentral:rRNA from 1 species
CCGUAGAUGAACGCUGGCGGCAUGCCUUACACAUGCAAGUCGAACGGCAGCACGGGGGCAAUCCUGGUGGCGAGUGGCGAACGGGUGAGUAAUACAUCGGAACGUGUCCUGUAGUGGGGGAUAGCCCGGCGAAAGCCGGAUUAAUACCGCAUACGCUCUACGGAGGAAAGGGGGGGAUCUUAGGACCUCCCGCUACAGGGGCGGCCGAUGGCAGAUUAGCUAGUUGGUGGGGUAAAGGCCUACCAAGGCGACGAUCUGUAGCUGGUCUGAGAGGACGACCAGCCACACUGGGACUGAGACACGGCCCAGACUCCUACGGGAGGCAGCAGUGGGGAAUUUUGGACAAUGGGGGAAACCCUGAUCCAGCAAUGCCGCGUGUGUGAAGAAGGCCUUCGGGUUGUAAAGCACUUUUGUCCGGAAAGAAAACCUCUGGGUUAAUACCCCGGGGGGAUGACGGUACCGGAAGAAUAAGCACCGGCUAACUACGUGCCAGCAGCCGCGGUAAUACGUAGGGUGCAAGCGUUAAUCGGAAUUACUGGGCGUAAAGCGUGCGCAGGCGGUCCGCUAAGACAGAUGUGAAAUCCCCGGGCUUAACCUGGGAACUGCAUUUGUGACUGGCGGGCUAGAGUAUGGCAGAGGGGGGUAGAAUUCCACGUGUAGCAGUGAAAUGCGUAGAGAUGUGGAGGAAUACCGAUGGCGAAGGCAGCCCCCUGGGCCAAUACUGACGCUCAUGCACGAAAGCGUGGGGAGCAAACAGGAUUAGAUACCCUGGUAGUCCACGCCCUAAACGAUGUCAACUAGUUGUCGGGUCUUCAUUGACUUGGUAACGUAGCUAACGCGUGAAGUGACCGCCUA